ACCAGAGACAUCCAGCCACCAGAACACACUGACCACCUAAAACAAUGGCAGACAAACCCGACAUCUCAGAAGUCACCAAAUUUGACAAAUCCAAGCUGAAGAAGACAGAGACACAGGAGAAGAAUCCCCUGCCCACAAAAGAAACCAUCGAACAGGAGAAGCAGGAGUCGUAGUGAAGCCCCUCCCUCCCGUCAUGCACUGUACACCCCUCCUCCUCCUCCCGCAUUGCCUUGUUUUCAGUCACUUCUUUUAGCCGUAUAACUUUGUAACCGAAAUUAUGAAAUGACAACAAUAACCGAGCUGCACAGCCAGUGGACGGAUGAAGCCUCUGUCCGGGCUGUCGGCUGUGCCCCCUUAACGACUCCCUUUACCAUCUACACGCCCGUCUUUCUGUGACGAUAAGGAAGACCUGUCUGAGGCGGAGGAGUGGGGGGGGUUGGGGGGGCGGCAGAAGGUGCACCCUAACACAUGGCAUCACCCACACGCAGUUCAGAGGCCUGAGGGACGGGGCGUGGUCCAAGAAGCUUCUCCUCAUCUCACCGCCAACACCCGACUUCUAGUGUGGCUGCUUCUGCGUCGUAGCUAAGGCGUCAAGCUUUUUAUUUGUCGUUUUUAUUGUCUUCUAAUUUUCGGGAAAUGCACAACUUUGUUUGUACGCUGGCCAAAAUGUAAAUGCCCCCCCAAAAAAAUUGAUACUGUCGUCCAUCACGAUGUUCUUCUUUUGUAUGUACACAAUGAAAACAAAUAAGUGUAACGGAUUCCAUCUAGAAGUGGGAGACGCUCAAAUGGACCUUAUUUACAGUUAAUGAGUGGGUCGAGAUAGCCGUUGUGUUGCAACCUGUCUCUAAUGAGGAAAAAUUUUAAAUUCUAUAUACCGGAAAUUGAUUCCAUGUGUUUGCUUUCAACCGUAGAUCAAAGUUCUUUGGAGUUCAGCAGUCAUGUUACUCUGCCACAAACCAUUACCAGAAAUGGAAAACCGUGAAAUGUUGUAAUAAAAAAAGAUUUGUUUAAAAAAA